rnacentral:RNase_P_RNA from 1 species
CGAGUCGGCAGGGCGGUCGCGGCGGGGUAACCCGUCGAGGAAAGUCCGGACUCCGUAGGGCAGGGUGGUUGCUAACGGCAACCCGGGGCGACCCGCGGGACAGUGCCACAGAGAACAGACCGCCUGGUGCGAUCUGCCGGUGCCUCUGGUGCCGGCGGGCCACGCCAGGUAAGGGUGAAACGGUGGUGUAAGAGACCACCAGCACCCCGGGUGACCGGGGUGGCUCGGUAAACCCCACCCGGAGCAAGGCCAAGAGGGAACCCCGGUCCACGGGCCAGGGUUCCUGCGCAGGCGUUCGAGGGCGGCCCGCCCGAGCCUGCGGGUAGGCCGCUAGAGCCUGCCGGCGACGGCAGGCCCAGAUGGAUGACCGCUCACCGGCCCUCGUGGCCGGGGACAGGAUCCGGCUUACAUGUCGACUCGUCCG